UGAGUAACCUGCCCCCCACUUCGGGAUAACCUCGGGAAAUCGUGGCUAAUACCGGAUACGAGUGCUCAUCGCAUGGUGGGUGCUGGAAAGAUUUAUCGGUGGGGGAUGGACUCGCGGCCUAUCAGUUUGUUGGUGAGGUGAUGGCUCACCAAGACGAUGACGGGUAGCCGGCCUGAGAGGGCGACCGGCCACACUGGGACUGAGACACGGCCCAGACUCCUACGGGAGGCAGCAGUGGGGAAUAUUGCACAAUGGGCGAAAGCCUGAUGCAGCGACGCCGCGUGGGGGAUGACGGCCUUCGGGUUGUAAACCCCUUUCAGUAGGGAAGAAGCGAGAGUGACGGUACCUGCAGAAGAAGCGCCGGCUAACUACGUGCCAGCAGCCGCGGUAAUACGUAGGGCGCAAGCGUUGUCCGGAAUUAUUGGGCGUAAAGAGCUCGUAGGUGGCUUGUCGCGUCUGCCGUGAAAACCCGAGGCUCAACCUCGGGCGUGCGGUGGGUACGGGCAGGCUAGAGUGUGGUAGGGGAGACUGGAACUCCUGGUGUAGCGGUGAAAUGCGCAGAUAUCAGGAAGAACACCGAUGGCGAAGGCAGGUCUCUGGGCCAUUACUGACACUGAGGAGCGAAAGCAUGGGUAGCGAACAGGAUUAGAUACCCUGGUAGUCCAUGCCGUAAACGUUGGGCACUA
rnacentral:rRNA from 1 species